UAGAAUCAAGAAUGAAUGUAUAUUGUUUUAGCUUCCUAAAUAAAAAAUAUUGAAUGUGUUAUUCUAUCAUUAAGUCCGAAAACCUUCCCAUGUUUAUUGUUAUAUGCUUUUAUAUAUUUUACGUUGAAAAACUCAAGGCGCUUGAUUACUUCCCUUCUGUGUGGGAAAUUCACACCACAAAGGCACAAGUGGACAGCCCAGCUCCAGUGUCCCUUUGAGCUGCCGGCAGUGGCACAUGGGCUGCUUGAGAAAAGUAUCCUCCUUUUUGAACAUUUUCUAGAAGGAUGGGCUCCUGAAAGAGAGGAUGUGGAGCAGGGAGAGGAGAGGGCAGGAGAAGAAAGUGAGAAAGAGGGAGAAGUGGAUGAAGAGGGAGGACAUGAGGAGAUCAGGGAAAGCGAAGACAUGGAGGUGAUGCCGGUAGUUGUAGAGGAAGGACACAGUGAGAGAGCACAAAUGGAAGAGGUGGAGGCAGUGAAAGAUGAAGUAUUAGCAAAUAGGAAGUCAGGCGUCUCCAUUGUGGUAACCAAACGGGGAAAGAGUGACAAGAAAGACAAAGGGGUGCAAUGAGGUUCAGGUGCAUUGGCUCCCAUGUCCUUCCUGCAAGAAGGCAUGGCCCCCCCUCUUGGGAGCCUCAGGAGCACAUCCCAAUAACCCUUGGACAGUAACCUAAAGAGAUUAAAAUAAAAAA